UUCCCCCCCGCCACCCAGCUACAAUGCAAUUCCCUUCUGCCUUUUCAGACCCAGCUUCCUCCUCCUUCAAGAGCGGAGCCUCGCAGCCUCGGGCGGUUUUGAGGAAUGAUGCCACUGGUGAAGUGUGGCAGUUUGGGCAAGAAGUGAGAACAUGUGGAAGAGGACUGUCUAGGUAGAGCAUUCCUGGGAGAGAUGUGAAACUAAGGUUCCUAAACUCAUGGAAAUUUGGAAACUGAACCAGGGUUACCCAUGUUUUGGAAAUAGUCAAGACAUCCUGAGACUGUAUCUGAAGGCAUCCCAUGGCAACACCUGAUCUGCAAAUGUCCCUCUUGAAGCUGUGCUGCUGGACAGGAGAAAGGUCUCUUCCUGUGACGUUUAUUUUGGAAUAUUCAUCAGCUAAGGAGGCCUGUGCUUGGCCUGUGAUUUGAGAGAAGAGUGGUCCUGUGCUGCAGCUGGAUUUCCUUGGCUGGGAAAGUGGAAAGGAAGAAUGUGUCACCUGUAGCUGAAGUUAUUUUCUUCAGCAGAAGCCCUGGCUCAGCAUCUAAAGGUGAGGGCUGAGGGUGUCUGUACCUCCCUGACUUGCAAAACCCAGGCAGUCCUUUUCAGUCUGUUUUUUUGUGGUUCAGUGAGCAGUUUCUGGGGGGGAAAAAAUGAUGUGAUGUGUUGUGGCAUUUUGUUCAGUUCCUCUUCCCUAACCCAGAACAAAACAACAAAAUGUGCAAUGCUCUGUAAUGAGGGAUGGAAGUAGGUAUUUGUCAAAAACAUGCAGCAGUUCUUUCUGUCUUUCUACCCCAAAUGUGAUCAGAAGAUUACUUCAGUUAUCACUGAAUUUAGUUAAUUUGUUCUGGUGUCCAUGGACUGUGAAUCUUGCUAUAGGAACAAAAAAAGAUGCUCCAGAAGUUUCCUCUCUUGUGAAUAUUUUUAGAGUAAUCUUCCAGGCUUUCAGCAAAAAACCCUAGAAUUGCAACAUCUCUGAGAUGAAUAUAAGACCCACUGUACUGCAGUUAAUCAUAUGUUGGUAGUAGGUUGUACAUAAACUAUCUGCACUAACUUGAUUUAUAAAAAAGUAGAGGGUUUCAGGUGAUAAAGCAAACAUUGGAAAAAUGCACAGCAGAAUUACAUUACUUGUUUCUUUGCUUCAGUAGAAGCAAACAAGAAAGCUUCAUGUCCUUCACUGUAAAAUCACCCACUUUCUCAUUUCCAAAUUUUUUUCCAGCCUAGCUGGGGGUUUCUUCGGUGUCUUUCCCAGGGCAUCUCUCUAUAGAGACAUGAAAAGCUUUCAGCAGGGUCUAUUUUGU